GUGUGAAGUGUGAACAGCUGACACAGCCAGACUCUGAGAGUCUGCAGCCAGGUCAGAGACUGACCAUCACCUGUCAGGUCUCUUAUUCUGUGAGCAGCUACUACACGGCUUGGAUCAGACAGCCUGCAGGGAAAGGACUGGAGUGGAUUGGGAUGAAACACACUGGAGCUUCUUACUACAAAGAUUCACUAAAAAACAAGUUCAGCAUUGAUGUAGACUCUUCCAACAACAGAGUGACUCUAAAUGGGCAGAACAUGCAGCCUGAAGACACUGCUGUGUAUUUCUGUGCCAGAGAUCCACAGUGAUACAAACCAUCAACAGACCUGAACAAAAACCCUCAGAGCCUGAAAACUUGUAGCAUAAAUCCACCAGAGGAGGCACUCUAACACCACCAAUGAUUUUUUUUUUUUACCUCCAUAAAUACUUAGGGCAUAUAUCUUUAAAGUCUUGAAAACAUUGGUUCAACAAAUUAUUAUUAUUUUUUUUUUAAUCAGGAAAAAUCAAUUCAAAUCACAUCAAACAGAACAAAGUUUUCUUUAUGAGGCACUUCUCAUAAAUACAUAAAAUGUUAUACAAAAUAAAAGCAAAUAAUAAAACAAAUGAACCAACAAGCAAAAUAAUAUAAAGACCUUCAUAGA